rnacentral:rRNA from 1 species
AUUGAACGCUGGCGGCAGGCCUAACACAUGCAAGUCGAACGAGUGGCGGACGGGUGAGUAAUGUCUGGGAAACUGCCCGAGGGAGGGGGAUAACUACUGGAAACGGUAGCUAAUACCGCAUACCAUCGGAUGUGCCCAGAUGGGAUUAGCGAGUGGGUGGGGUAACGGCUCACCUAGGCGACGAUCCCUAGCUGGUCUGAGAGGAUGACCAGCCACACUGGAACUGAGACACGGUCCAGACUCCUACGGGAGGCAGCAGGGGGGAAUAUUGCACAAUGGGCGCAAGUCUGACCGAGCAACGCCGCGUGAGUGAAGAAGGUUUUCGGAUCGUAAAGUACUUUCAGCGAGGAGGCGUUACUCGCAGAAGAAGCACCGGCUAACUCCGUGCCAGCCGCCGCGGUAAUAC